CACAUCACCACGAGACCGACCACCAUCUCUAGAACCUUCCUCCUCGCCUCCGCCUUCCCCUUCCUCCCAGCCCCAAACCCAAGAAACCCUCCUCCCAUCGCCGCCGCCUCCUCUUGCCGCCUAAUCCCCGACGUUCACGUGAGCGAGAAGAGCAGCCGGGCAGGAUGCCGCCGAAGAAGGCGCAGCCAUCGAAGGUAGACCUGGCCAAGAAGCAGAAGGUCGUGGAGGACAAGACGUUCGGGCUCAAGAACAAGAACAAGAGCAAGAACGUCCAGAAGUACGUCCAGUCCCUGCACCAGGCGGUCCAGCCCAAGCCCGACCCGACCAAGACCGCCGCGAAGAAGAAGAAGGAGGAGGAGAAGGCGCGCGAGAAGGAGCUCAAUGAUCUGUUCAAGGUCGCCGUCAGCCAGCCCAAAGUCCCCGUUGGUGUUGAUCCCAAGUCAAUACUGUGCGAGUUCUUCAAGGCAGGACAGUGCCAAAAGGGUUUUAAGUGCAAGUUCUCACAUGACUUGAAUGUCCAGAGGAAGGGUGAAAAGAUCGAUAUUUACACAGACAAGCGUGAUGCGGAAACCAUGGAGGACUGGGAUCAGGAGACUCUCGAGAAGGUUGUUGAGUCGAAAAAGACGGAGUAUCAGCAGAAUAAACCUACUGAUAUUGUCUGCAAGUACUUUCUUGAUGCCGUGGAGAAGAAACAGUAUGGGUGGUUUUGGGUUUGCCCAAAUGGUGGCAAAGAUUGCCACUACAGGCAUGCCCUUCCUCCUGGAUAUGUACUGAAAUCCCAAAUGAAGGCCUUACUGGAGGAAGAGAGUGAAAAGAUAGCAAUCGAAGAUGAGAUAGAAGAUCAGCGUAAAAAGACAAAGACUACAACCCCUAUGACUACGGAAUUGUUCAUGGAAUGGAAGAGGAAGAAAGCAGAAGAAAGAGAAGCUGGCCAGGCCGCCUUGCAGGCUGAGAGGGCUAAGAAUGACCGCAUGAGUGGCCGUGAGUUGUUCAUGGCUGAUGCAAGUGUGUUCGUUGAUGAUGCUGAAGCAUAUGAAGUCUAUGAGAGACAUAAAGAGUUGGAAGCUAAUGAAGAACCGGGCAAGACAAGUCAGGAUGCAGGUCCAAGUUCAUCAACUUCUAAUGUCAAGGAGGUUGAGGAGCCUGAGGAAGAUAUCGAUGUUGAUGAUGACUUGGACAUUGAUGAAUUAAAUGAACUUGAAGCAAGCCUGUCGAGAACUUCCAUCCAAAUUCGAGAACCUGGCGAGGGAACAUCAUCUUGAGCAUACUCUGGAAGAUCGUUGAGCAGUAGCACUCCAUUUUUGUGCUCCCAACUAAUCUAGUGGCUCUGAAAAAAAAAGCUGGUGCAUCGAUGCAAGUGGAAUUGAUUUUAAAGAGACUAUGAUAAUUAGCUAUCUUGAGAGAGCAAGUAAUGAUCAAUGAAUGACGCUCAAGAUCACACGACAAUCGUGAUGAAUCAUGAUGAUCGUUUCCCUUUUAUACCCCUUCAAGAACGAUUUGUAGAUUUCAGGGCACUCCGAGAUAAGUUGAUUCGCAUCAAUAAUGAGACACAUUUUUCCUUUUCUUUUUUGUCAC